UGUAGCAGCCAUAUCACCCUGUAGCCCAAGACUGGUUGCCCACUGAAGCUAAGCAAGGCUGAGCCUGGUCAGUACCUGGAUGGGAGACCUCCUGAGAAAACUAGGUUGCUGCUGGAA
rnacentral:rRNA from 1 species